GACGUAGGGCGCGAGCGUGUCCGGAUUUAUUGGGCGUAAAGAGCUCGUAGGCGGCUUGUCGCGUCGACUGUGAAAACUCGGGGCUCAACUCCGAGCUUGCAGUCGAUACGGGCAGGCUAGAGUUCGGUAGGGGAGACUGGAAUUCCUGGUGUAGCGGUGAAAUGCGCAGAUAUCAGGAGGAACACCGGUGGCGAAGGCGGGUCUCUGGGCCGAUACUGACGCUGAGGAGCGAAGCGUGGGAGCGAACAGG
rnacentral:rRNA from 1 species